GUACUUUCUUACUGUUAAGGGCGGAGCGUACGGAGGGACUGGGAUCACUGGGAGCGGUUAAUUCCAGAAGUGAAUUAGGUGGAAUAAGCGUGUUAAGAUCUGAAGGACGGCAGAUCUCCAGGAAAAAGUCACCACACCUUCUGGAUUUGCUCUUCGGUGUAGAGUCACCACAUGCCGCUAAAGUGCAGCGUCGUUCCUGGCAUGUGGCUCCUCCUCCUUCUUUCAUACUAGAUAGUGACUGAUCUACUGGCAGGAAGCUGUGGUCUACAUAAGAGGGGACUACGGUCUGAUUGUGUUUUCUAAUCAACAAUCAUUUCCACUGUACCUGGCAAGAAUCGGAUCUGAAAAUCGAGAUUCUGCGAAUCAAAAAAGAGAAGCGGAAGACAGACAGAGGAGCGUGAAAAGAGAAUAGAAAGAGAGAGAGAAAAAUAAAAUCAUGUCAAGUGGAA